AUCUCAAAUGGUUCAUUUAUAUAACAAAAAUAUUCAUUUUUACUUCUUUUUAAUUUAUCCCGCUCAAAUUAUUUAUAUGUAGUAACAAACUGAAAAUUAGGUAAUAUAAAAUUACCGAAACAAAUUAUUAUAUAAGCAUAUAUAUGAACCACAUAUGCUUAAGAUAACUAAAAAACAAGAGAAUAAUUAAUGUUGUAUGGCAACUUUACUAACAAAUAAAUCAACAUAUUUACAUAUCCUUGCUAAACAUUGAUCUUUUUGUGAAAGUUGUGCUUUUUGUCUGCUUUUUCAUACACAUUUUUGCUUGCACGUUACAUCACAAAACAUAUUGUUUUUGUCAGAAUAAAUAAAAAGGCAAUCCAAGUCCCACAUCGGAUAUUAGACAGAAUAAAGUCUAAUAUAUAUAAUUGGUCCAAUUCCACUUAGUAUAAGGCAUUUUGGAAGUAACGACCCAAAAAUAAAUUCGUGAGGGCUUAGGCCCAAAGCGGACAAUAUCAUAUUAAGCGAGAGAUUGGACAUCUGGUGAUGGACAUCUGGUGAUGGACAUCUGCUCUAGUUGAGCGUCUGGCCUCCAGCACGGGCAUCCGGUCUGGCUCUAGUAGAGCAUCUGGCCCAGGAGUGCAUCUGGUCCGUUACAAUAGAUUGGUAUUAGAGCCAAGGUUCUGUGGUCCUUGGUUUGAGGGGAGGAUUGUCAGAAUAAAUAAAAAGGCAAUUCAAGUCUCACAUCGGAUAUUAGACAGAAUAAAGUCUAAUAUAUAUAGCUGGUCCAAUUCCACUUAGUAUGAGGCAUUUUGGGAGUAACGACCCAAAAACAAAUCUGUGAGGGCUUAGGCCCAAAACGGACAAUAUCAUAUUAAGCGAGGGAUUGGACAUCUGGUGAUGGACAUCUGCUCUAGUUGAGCGUCUGGCCUCCAGCACGGGCAUCCGGUCUGGCUCUAGUAGAGCAUUUGACCCAGGAGUGCAUCUGGUCCGUUACAACAGUUUUCGUAGCGCUUACAAAAACAUAUAUAUAUAUAUAUAUAUUUAUAUAUAUAUAUAUAUAUAAUGUUUUCAUAGCAAAUUUUAAAGAGUAGACAAGCUGAUGCCAGUCCUCCAAGUAUACCACACCACCAUGCAUAAUGUGAUCCAGACAUAAGUCAUAUAUUCUCUAUAUAUUUUGGUUUUAGAACUGUAAGGGAAAGAAACUCUCUUUCAACAAGAUACAUGUGACCUAAAUGAAAAAGUGGUACGCAAGCGCAUGCAUGAUGAUCCUACAAAGAACUUUCGUCGAACAAGAAUCCCAUAAGUUUUCCUUUGAACAUUCCUUAUAUCGUAAUGGACCCUCAUUGCUGAUAAUAAAACUUAUAAUACUUUCUAAGAUAUUUUCAAAUGAUGUUUAUUUUCUUUUCUAUGCUAUAGACUUCUGAUAUUAAAAUAAGGGAUUGUUAAGUUGAAGAAUCAUAUAUGUAAAAGUAUUGUAUGAAAAUAUCUUUAGCCAGGUAAAAUGGUUCAGCAAUACUUCCAAACAGCUAAAAAUGGGUAAAUGUUUUUUAUUACAUGCAUACAGGUAUGAAGAAAAAAUCCACCAAAGAAUAUAUUUUGAAAAGGUCACCAAUUCCACCAAUAACACGCACAAUUAUCUCAGAUAAUGUAACUUUGCUUCAUUUCCCUCCUAAAUUAGUGGUUGAUUGCACGAAUUCCACUACAACUGCGCGCGCUGCCCAUUUACGUCUCUGGUGACGUGUAUGUAUAAAAAAACUGUAUCAAUUAAUGUUAGAAUAUUUAUCUAUAUAGCAUAUGAUAAUGUUUAAUCACAUGCCCACUACAUAUCCUCAUUGUGUUUUUCACCGUCUACAUAUCAUUAUAAGACACUUGUCUCUUGACUUUGUCCCCCCGUUUUAAUUCCGGUGUGCAAUACUAUGCACUUAUUGGGGAUCUUUCUAUAUGUACAUGUUUGUCUGUAUAUAUAUGAUUUCCUUAUAAUAAAAAUUGAUAAAAUUA